AAGUAUUUAGUUGAUCUUGAAUAAUCUCCUCUGUUGGCUCUCUGUCUUGUAGGUGGCUGGCAUUGUUGGCAGAGCAGAUUUGUUAUGUGCCCUCUUUUUUCAGCUCUCUUUUCUGGUUUACUGCAAAGCAUUUCAAGGUGGUGAUAAAAAGUUCUCAGUAUUGUGGAUAUUUGGCAGCAUUCUUCUUUGUGCUGUCGCAAUGCUGUGCAAGGAGCAAGGCAUUACGGUUUUGGGAGUAAAUGCUGCUUAUGAUAUUCUUAUGGUCUGCAAUCUAAAUAUCUAUGAGCUUGCUCACCAGCUGCUUUCCAGGAGAAAAUCAGCUGAU